rfam:Coccidioides immitis RMSCC 3703 supercont1.21 genomic scaffold, whole genome shotgun sequence.
ACAUACGACCAUAGGAAGUAGAAAAUAGGGCUUCCCGUCCGCUCAGCCAUACUCAAGCUACUUGCCGGCCGGCUAGUAGUUGGGUGGGUGACCACCAGCGAAUCCCGGCUGUUGUAUGUU